rnacentral:rRNA from 2 species
GAACGCUGGCGGCGUGCCUAAUACAUGCAAGUCGAACGAACUCUGGUAUUGAUUGGUGCUUGCAUCAUGAUUUACAUUUGAGUGAGUGGCGAACUGGUGAGUAACACGUGGGAAACCUGCCCAGAAGCGGGGGAUAACACCUGGAAACAGAUGCUAAUACCGCAUAACAACUUGGACCGCAUGGUCCGAGCUUGAAAGAUGGCUUCGGCUAUCACUUUUGGAUGGUCCCGCGGCGUAUUAGCUAGAUGGUGGGGUAACGGCUCACCAUGGCAAUGAUACGUAGCCGACCUGAGAGGGUAAUCGGCCACAUUGGGACUGAGACACGGCCCAAACUCCUACGGGAGGCAGCAGUAGGGAAUCUUCCACAAUGGACGAAAGUCUGAUGGAGCAACGCCGCGUGAGUGAAGAAGGGUUUCGGCUCGUAAAACUCUGUUGUUAAAGAAGAACAUAUCUGAGAGUAACUGUUCAGGUAUUGACGGUAUUUAACCAGAAAGCCACGGCUAACUACGUGCCAGCAGCCGCGGUAAUACGUAGGUGGCAAGCGUUGUCCGGAUUUAUUGGGCGUAAAGCGAGCGCAGGCGGUUUUUUAAGUCUGAUGUGAAAGCCUUCGGCUCAACCGAAGAAGUGCAUCGGAAACUGGGAAACUUGAGUGCAGAAGAGGACAGUGGAACUCCAUGUGUAGCGGUGAAAUGCGUAGAUAUAUGGAAGAACACCAGUGGCGAAGGCGGCUGUCUGGUCUGUAACUGACGCUGAGGCUCGAAAGUAUGGGUAGCAAACAGGAUUAGAUACCCUGGUAGUCCAUACCGUAAACGAUGAAUGCUAAGUGUUGGAGGGUUUCCGCCCUUCAGUGCUGCAGCUAACGCAUUAAGCAUUCCGCCUGGGGAGUACGGCCGCAAGGCUGAAACUCAAAGGAAUUGACGGGGGCCCGCACAAGCGGUGGAGCAUGUGGUUUAAUUCGAAGCUACGCGAAGAACCUUACCAGGUCUUGACAUACUAUGCAAAUCUAAGAGAUUAGACGUUCCCUUCGGGGACAUGGAUACAGGUGGUGCAUGGUUGUCGUCAGCUCGUGUCGUGAGAUGUUGGGUUAAGUCCCGCAACGAGCGCAACCCUUAUUAUCAGUUGCCAGCAUUAAGUUGGGCACUCUGGUGAGACUGCCGGUGACAAACCGGAGGAAGGUGGGGAUGACGUCAAAUCAUCAUGCCCCUUAUGACCUGGGCUACACACGUGCUACAAUGGAUGGUACAACGAGUUGCGAACUCGCGAGAGUAAGCUAAUCUCUUAAAGCCAUUCUCAGUUCGGAUUGUAGGCUGCAACUCGCCUACAUGAAGUCGGAAUCGCUAGUAAUCGCGGAUCAGCAUGCCGCGGUGAAUACGUUCCCGGGCCUUGUACACACCGCCCGUCACACCAUGAGAGUUUGUAACACCCAAAGUCGGUGGGGUAACCUUUUAGGAACCAGCC